rnacentral:rRNA from 1 species
GGGUUGUGAGGUUAAGCGACUAAGCGUACACGGUGGAUGCCCUGGCAGUCAGAGGCGAUGAAGGGCGUGCUAAUCUGCGAUAAGCGCCGGUAAGGUGAUAUGAACCGUUAUAACCGACGAUACCCGAAUGGGGAAACCCAGUGUGACUCGUCACACUAUCAUUAACUGAAUCCAUAGGUUAAUGAGGCGAACCGGGGGAACUGAAACAUCUAAGUACCCCGAGGAAAAGAAAUCAACCGAGAUUCCCCCAGUAGCGGCGAGCGAACGGGGAGGAGCCCAGAGCCUGAAUCAGCAUGUGUGUUAGUGGAAGCGUCUGGAAAGGCGCGCGAUACAGGGUGACAGCCCCGUACACAAAAGCGCAUGUGCUGUGAGCUCGAUGAGUAGGGCGGGACACGUGGUAUCCUGUCUGAAUAUGGGGGGACCAUCCUCCAAGGCUAAAUACUCCUGACUGACCGAUAGUGAACCAGUACCGUGAGGGAAAGGCGAAAAGAACCCCGGCGAGGGGAGUGAAAAAGAACCUGAAACCGUGUACGUACAAGCAGUGGGAGC